rnacentral:rRNA from 1 species
UACGUAGGGUGCGAGCGUUGUCCGGAUUUACUGGGCGUAAAGAGCUCGUAGGUGGCUUGUCGCGUCGUCUGUGAAAGUCUGGGGCUUAACUCCGGGUGUGCAGGCGAUACGGGCUGGCUUGAGUGCUGUAGGGGAGACUGGAAUUCCUGGUGUAGCGGUGGAAUGCGCAGAUAUCAGGAGGAACACCGAUGGCGAAGGCAGGUCUCUGGGCAGCCACUGACGCUGAGGAGCGAGAGCAUGGGUAG